AUACGUAGGGAGCGAGCGUUGUCCGGAAUUACUGGGUGUAAAGGGAGCGUAGGCGGGAGUGCAAGUCAGAUGUGAAAUACAUGGGCUCAACCCAUGGGCUGCAUUUGAAACUGCAUUUCUUGAGUGAAGUAGAGGUAAGCGGAAUUCCUGGUGUAGCGGUGAAAUGCGUAGAUAUCAGGAGGAACACCGGUGGCGAAGGCGGCUUACUGGGCUUUUACUGACGCUGAGGCUCGAAAGCGUGGGGAGCAAACAGGAUUAGAUACCCUGGUAGUCCACGCUGUAAACGAUGAUUACUAGGUGUGGGGGGACUGACCCCUUCCGUGCCGCAGUUAACACAAUAAGUAAUCCACCUGGGGAGUACGGCCGCAAGGCUGAAACUCAAAUGAAUUGACGGGG
rnacentral:rRNA from 1 species